rnacentral:rRNA from 1 species
UGAACGCUGGCGGCGUGCUUAACACAUGCAAGUCGAACGGAAACAGGAAGAGCUUGCUCUUUGCUGUCGAGUGGCGCACGGGUGAGUAAUAUAUAGUUAACGUGCCUCUUAGCCUGGGAUAGCCACUGGAAACGGUGAUUAAUACCGGAUACGCCUUCUACUUACAAGAGUAGUCGGGAAAGGUUUUUCGCUAAGAGAUCGGACUAUAUUGUAUCAGCUAGUUGGUGAGGUAAGAGCUCACCAAGGCAAUGACACAUAGCGGGUUUGAGAGGAUGAUCCGCCACACUGGUACUGAGACACGGACCAGACUCCUACGGGAGGCAGCAGUGAGGAAUAUUGCACAAUGGGCGAAAGCCUGAUGCAGCAACGCCGCGUGGAGGAUGACGCAUUUCGGUGUGUAAACUCCUUUUAUAAGAGAAGAAAAUGACGGUAUCUUAUGAAUAAGUCCCGGCUAACUCC